rnacentral:rRNA from 1 species
AGUGAACGCUGGCGGCGUGCCUAAUACAUGCAAGUCGAACGGAGUGGCGCACGGGUGAGUAAUGUAUAGCUAAUCUGCCCUGCACUAGAGAACACCCGUUGGCAACGACUGCUACUGCUCUAUAGUGUAGGAUGAGGCUAUCUUGUAUCAGCUAGGUGGGGAGGUAAUGGCUCCCCAAGGCUAUGACGCAUAACUGGUCUGCGAGGAUGAUCAGUCACACUGGAACUGAGACACGGUCUAGACUUAUACGGGAGGCAGCAGUAGGGAAUAGUGCUCAAUGGGGGAAACCCUGAAGCAGCAACGCAGCGUGGAGGAUGACAAUUUUCGGAGCGUAAAAUCCUUUUGUUAGGGAAGCGGUACCUAACGAAUAAGCACCGGCUAACUCCGUGCCAGCAGCCGCGGUAAUUC